ACACUCCAAGAUCACGAGAUCGUCUCCCACAUCCUCGCCGGCCUCGACCUCGACUACAACCCGGUCGUGUCGGCGCUUGCUGCACGAGUUGAGCUCGUCACCGUCCAGGAGCUUUUCACCCAAUUGCUUAGCUUCGACG
rfam:Triticum aestivum genome assembly, contig: Triticum_aestivum_CS42_TGACv1_scaffold_061778_1DL